rnacentral:rRNA from 1 species
UUCUGUCGGCGACCGGCGCACGGGUGAGUAACGCGUAUGCAACCUGCCCUUCACAGGGGGAUAACAGUUGGAAACGACUGCUAAUACCGCAUAAUGUAUUUCGGAGGCAUCUCUGGGAUACCAAAGGAGCAAUCCGCUGAAAGAUGGGCUCAUAUCUGAUUAGCUAGUUGGUGAGGUAACGGCUCACCAAGGCUGCGAUCAGUAGCCGGACUGAGAGGUUGAACGGCCACAUUGGGACUGAGAUACGGCCCAGACUCC